rnacentral:rRNA from 1 species
UACGGGGGGGGCAAGCGUUGUUCGGAAUUAUUGGGCGUAAAGGGUUCGUAGGCGGCCAACUAAGUCGGACGUGAAAUCCCUCAGCUUAACUGGGGAACUGCGUCCGAUACUGGAUGGCUUGGAUUUGGGAGAGGGAUGCGGAAUUCCAGGUGUAGCGGUGAAAUGCGUAGAUAUCUGGAGGAACACCGGUGGCGAAGGCGGCAUCCUGGACCAAUAUUGACGCUGAGGAACGAAAGCUAGGGGAGCAAACGGG